rnacentral:rRNA from 1 species
UGAGGAAUUUUCUGCAAUGGGCGAAAGCCUGACAGAGCAAUACCACGUGGGGGAUGAAGGCCUAUGGGUUGUAAACCCCUUUUCUCAAGGAGGAAUAUCUGACGUUACUUGAGGAAUAAGCAUCGGCUAACCCUGUGCCAGCAGCCGCGGUAAUACAGGGGAUGCAAGUGUUAUCCGGAAUUAUUGGGCGUAAAGCGUCUGCAGGUUGAUAUUUAAGUCUUUUGUUAAAGCUUCAGGCUCAACCUGAAAUCCGCAAAAGAAACUAUUUAUCUUGAGUAUGGUAGAGGUAAAGGGAAUUUUCAGUGGAGCGGUGAAAUGCGUAGAUAUUGAAAGGAACACCAAUGGCGAAGGCACUUUACUGGGCCAUAACUGACACUCAGAGACGAAAGCUAGGGGAGCAAACAGG